GAGAAGGCCAACAAAUGCAUCAGGCUCAGAGAUCUCUUAUAGAGACUCAUGAGACACAAACACAUACAAUGGAAGGUUUUGCAACAAAGUGAAAAGGCUGAUUUAAAGCACAAAGAACAUGUUUUAAGAAACACUCGGAACUUAAGCAAGUUCAGAAGAGAAAGGGGUGGUAUAAAAUUAAGAAAUAGUAGAUGAAACAUGUUUAAAAGGAACUCGAAAAAAGUCCAAUAAAGCAAACAAAACUUAAGAACUCAGCAGGAAACACAUACAGUAGAAGAAUACUGAAAAGUAUAGCAAAGAACAUAUAGGAAAAUAUAACAAAGAUUGACAUGCGAGCCUAGUCUAAAGGCACGACAG
rnacentral:lncRNA from 1 species